rnacentral:rRNA from 1 species
GGCGGCGUGCCUAAUACAUGCAAGUCGAACGCUUCUUUUUCCACCGGAGCUUGCUCCACCGGAAAAAGAGGAGUGGCGAACGGGUGAGUAACACGUGGGUAACCUGCCCAUCAGAAGGGGAUAACACUUGGAAACAGGUGCUAAUACCGUAUAACAAUCAAAACCGCAUGGUUUUGAUUUGAAAGGCGCUUUCGGGUGUCGCUGAUGGAUGGACCCGCGGUGCAUUAUCUAGGUGGUGAGGUAACGGCUCACCAAGGCCACGAUGCAUAGCCGACCUGAGAGGGUGAUCGGCCACAUUGGGACUGAGACACGGCCCAAACUCCUACGGGAGGCAGCAGUAGGGAAUCUUCGGCAAUGGACGAAAGUCUGACCGAGCAACGCCGCGUGAGUGAAGAAGGUUUUCGGAUCGUAAAACUCUGUUGUUAGAGAAGAACAAGGAUGAGAGUAACUGUUCAUCCCUUGACGGUAUCUAACCAGAAAGCCACGGCUAACUACGUGCCAGCAGCCGCGGUAAUACGUAGGUGGCAAGCGUUGUCCGGAUUUAUUGGGCGUAAAGCGAGCGCAGGCGGUUUCUUAAGUCUGAUGUGAAAGCCCCCGGCUCAACCGGGGAGGGUCAUUGGAAACUGGGAGACUUGAGUGCAGAAGAGGAGAGUGGAAUUCCAUGUGUAGCGGUGAAAUGCGUAGAUAUAUGGAGGAACACCAGUGGCGAAGGCGGCUCUCUGGUCUGUAACUGACGCUGAGGCUCGAAAGCGUGGGGAGCAAACAGGAUUAGAUACCCUGGUAGUCCACGCCGUAAACGAUGAGUGCUAAGUGUUGGAGGGUUUCCGCCCUUCAGUGCUGCAGCUAACGCAUUAAGCACUCCGCCUGGGGAGUACGACCGCAAGGUUGAAACUCAAAGGAAUUGACGGGGGCCCGCACAAGCGGUGGAGCAUGUGGUUUAAUUCGAAGCAACGCGAAGAACCUUACCAGGUCUUGACAUCCUUUUGACCACUCUAGAGAUAGAGCUUCCCCUUCGGGGGCAAAGUGACAGGUGGUGCAUGGUUGUCGUCAGCUCGUGUCGUGAGAUGUUGGGUUAAGUCCCGCAACGAGCGCAACCCUUAUUGUUAGUUGCCAUCAUUCAGUUGGGCACUCUAGCAAGACUGCCGGUGACAAACCGGAGGAAGGUGGAUGACGNUCAAAUCAUCAUGA